GAUGAACGCUGGCGGCGUGCCUAAUACAUGCAAGUCGAGCGAACGGGCGAGAAGCUUGCUUCUUUGAUGUUAGCGGCGGGCGGGUGAGUAACACGUGUAUAACCUACCUCUAUGACUGGGAUAACUUCGGGAAACCGUAGCUAAUACCGGAUAAUAUUUUGAACCGCAUGGUUCAAAAGUGAAAGACGGCCUUGCGGUCACUUAUAGAUGCAUCCGCGCUGCAUUAGCUGGUUGGUAAGGUAACGGCUUACCAAGGCAACGAUGCAUAGCCGAGCUGAGAGGGUGAUCGGCCACAUUGGAACUGAGACACGGUCCAGACUCCUACGGGAGGCAGCAGUAGGGAAUCUUGCGCAAUGGGCGAAAGCAUGACGGAGCAACGCCGCGUGAGUGAUGAAGGUCUUCGGAUCGUAAAGCUCUGUUAUUGGGGAAGAACAUAUGUGUAAGUAACUGUGCACAUCUUGACGGUACCUAAUAAGAAAGCAACGGCUAACUACGUG
rnacentral:rRNA from 1 species